UACGGGGGGGGCAAGCGUUGUUCGGAAUUACUGGGCGUAAAGGGCUCGUAGGCGGCCAACUAAGUCAGACGUGAAAUCCCUCGGCUUAACCGGGGAACUGCGUCUGAUACUGGAUGGCUAGAGGUUGGGAGAGGGAUGCGGAAUUCCAGGUGUAGCGGUGAAAUGCGUAGAUAUCUGGAGGAACACCGGUGGCGAAGGCGGCAUCCUGGACCAAUUCUGACGCUGAUGAGCGAAAGCCAGGGGAGCAAACGGG
rnacentral:rRNA from 1 species